AAAUUGAAGAGUUUGAUCAUGGCUCAGAUUGAACGCUGGCGGCAGGCCUAACACAUGCAAGUCGAACGGUAACAGGAAGAAGCUUGCUUCUUUGCUGACGAGUGGCGGACGGGUGAGUAAUGUCUGGGAAACUACCUGAUGGAGGGGGAUAACUACUGGAAACGGUAGCUAAUACCGCAUAACGUCGCAAGACCAAAGAGGGGGACCUUCGGGCCUCUUGCCAUCGGAUGUGCCCAGAUGGGAUUAGCUAGUAGGUGGGGUAACGGCUCACCUAGGCGACGAUCCCUAGCUGGUCUGAGAGGAUGACCAGCCACACUGGAACUGAGACACGGUCCAGACUCCUACGGGAGGCAGCAGUGGGGAAUAUUGCACAAUGGGCGCAAGCCUGAUGCAGC
rnacentral:rRNA from 2 species